UACGUAGGAUCCAAGCGUUGUCCGGAAUUACUGGGUGUAAAGGGUGCUCAGGCGGACUUGUGCGUCAGAGGUUAAAUACCCCGGCUCAACCGGGGAAAUGCCUUUGAAACGGCAGGUCUUGAGUGCGAGAGAGGAUGGUAGAAUUCCUGGUGUAGCGGUGAAAUGCGUAGAUAUCAGGAGGAAUACCAGUGGCGAAGGUGGCCAUCGGGCUCGCAACUGACGAUCAGGCACGAAAGCGUGGGGAGCAAACAGG
rnacentral:rRNA from 1 species